AUGACUGUUAUUGGAUGCGGUCUGCUCAGCCUGUUGGUAUUUGUGCUCUGGAUUAAAGGUGGUACUGAUGGAAGCGGUGUCCAACAGACUCCCAUACUGGGGGAAAGGAUGGGUGGAAGUGCAACAAUGUACUGUAACCACACAAAGGGUGAUGUCUAUUUCCAGAUGUGCUGGUAUAGACAGCUACCAGGACAAACUCUGGAACUAAUUGUGUUCAUAAGUAUAGCCAAAAAUGGUGAUGACUAUGACUAUGGAAAUUUAAGCACAGAGAAAUUUUCGGCCAGCAAGUCAGUUCCUGGGAGUGGGACAUUGACAGUGAAGAACCUGGAGCCAAAAGACAGAGGCUUGUAUUUCUGUGUCGUGAGCAAGCACAGUGAUACAGACACAGCAGAGAGCUGA